UACGUAGGGGGGCAAGCGUUGUCCGGAUUUAUUGGGCGUAAAGAGCGUGUAGGCGGUUUGGUAGGUCCGCUGUGAAAACUCGAGGCUCAACCUCGAGACGCCGGUGGAAACCAUCAGACUAGAGUCCGGAAGAGGAGAGUGGAAUUCCUGGUGUAGCGGUGAAAUGCGCAGAUAUCAGGAAGAACACCCGUGGCUAAGGCGGCUCUCUAGUACGGUACUGACGCUGAGACGCGAAAGCCGUGGG
rnacentral:rRNA from 1 species